ACGGGAGGCAGCAGUGGGGAAUAUUGCACAAUGGGCGGAAGCCUGAUGCAGCGACGCCGCGUGAGGGAUGACGGCCUUCGGGUUGUAAACCUCUUUCAGCAGGGAAGAAGCGUGAGUGACGGUACCUGCAGAAGAAGCACCGGCUAACUACGUGCCAGCAGCCGCGGUAAUACGUAGGGUGCGAGCGUUGUCCGGAAUUAUUGGGCGUAAAGAGCUUGUAGGCGGUUUGUCGCGUCUGCUGUGAAAAUCCGGGGCUCAACCCCGGACUUGCAGUGGGUACGGGCAGGCUAGAGUGUGGUAGGGGAGACUGGAAUUCCUGGUGUAGCGGUGGAAUGCGCAGAUAUCAGGAGGAACACCGAUGGCGAAGGCAGGUCUCUGGGCCACUACUGACGCUGAGAAGCGAAAGCAUGGGGAGCGAACAGGAUUAGAUACCCUGGUA
rnacentral:rRNA from 1 species